CCCUCGAGGACAGUGCCACUUGGGCUCUUGGGGUUGGCUUGACAGGGGUGCAGAGAGAACAGGGGGCGGGGCGGGGGGGGAAUCCGUGAAGGCAGUGGGCGGGGAGCAGUGCAGAAGCAAAGCCGAGAUUGACCUCUGUCCAGGGAGAAGGCUGGAUUUUCAAAGCCCGAGGCAGGGACGACGCAAGCCCUCUGACUACCCUGAGAUGGGGGAGGUUGCAGAGGGUGUGGCCUGGACAGGAUCUAUUCCCACACCUGAAAUGUAAACACGUGACCACCCCGAAGACGUGGUGUUACCCAAGCACUUGGGAAGCUGAGCUGGAGCAUCUAUCUCUGCAAGGGCAACAGCAACCUCGACUACAGAGUCGGGACCUGUGUGUUUACUCGAGUAAUUGACUAAAAGCUGUCCGGAAAUGGUCCUCUCCGUACCACAUCAACAGCCUUCCAAUUGUACCGUGUUUAGUUAUCCUAAGGCUUCGGAUUGUGACAGUGUUGCAAUUCUGCCCCAGGAGUGCACGUCACAGGAUUAAUUGAGGAUAGACCUUAAGGCUGUGCUAUCUUGAGCUACUCAGACUAUGCCUGGUUUUCCCAGCUUCUUUCUCCGGUGGAAGGCACUAGCAGGGACCGAGGAGCAGGCCUACCUUCUGCCUGUGCUGUGGGUGGAGAACUGUUUGUCUUCCUUACGCUAAGCAGGCAGAUAAUUCUGGAUUCAGAUAAGGAAAUGUAAGUCUCCCAAAUCAGGACCAGCUCUGCUUGCUUUCUCUGCCCCUUUGUGGAAAAAAAAAAAAAAAAAAAAAA